GAUGAACGCUGGCGGCGUGCCUAAUACAUGCAAGUCGAACGAAACUUCUUUAUCACCGAGUGCUUGCACUCACCGAUAAAGAGUUGAGUGGCGAACGGGUGAGUAACACGUGGGCAACCUGCCCAAAAGAGGGGGAUAACACUUGGAAACAGGUGCUAACACCGCAUAACCAUAGUUACCGCAUGGUAACUAUGUAAAAGGUGGCUAUACUACCGCUUUUGGAUGGGCCCGCGGCGCAUUAGCUAGUUGGUAGGGUAAAGGCUUACCAAGGCAAUGAUGCGUAGCCGAAUUGAGAGGGUGAUCGGCCACAUUGGGACUGAGACACGGCCCAAACUCCUACGGGAGGCAGCAGUAGGGAAUCUUCCACAAUGGGCGAAAGCCUGAUGGAGCAACGCCGCGUGGGUGAAGAAGGUCUUCGGAUCGUAAAACCCUGUUGUUAGAGAAGAAAGUGCGUGAGAGUAACUGUUCACGUUUCGACGGUAUCUAACCAGAAAGCCACUGCUAACUACGUG
rnacentral:rRNA from 1 species